rnacentral:rRNA from 1 species
UACGGAGGGUGCAAGCGUUAAUCGGAAUUACUGGGCGUAAAGCGUGCGUAGGUGGUUUGUUAAGUCCGUUGUGAAAGCCCCGAGCUCAACUUGGGAAUUGCAGUGGAUACUGGCAAGCUGGAGUGCGGUAGAGGAAGGUGGAAUUCCCGGUGUAGCGGUGAAAUGCGUAGAGAUCGGGAGGAACACCAGUGGCGAAGGCGGCCUUCUGGACCAGCACUGACACUCAAGCACGAAAGCGUGGGGAGCAAACAGG